rnacentral:lncRNA from 1 species
CAUGGAAAUCGCUGCGACCUAGCAAGGAUCAUCGCAGCGCUCUCUCACUCACUCAUGGCUGCCUAGGAAGUCUAAAAGUCGAGGGAUGACAAGACGGUAAUAGCCAGGGUUGUCCUGUCGGGCCAUCGAAAACCUUUGCAUUUGCCGCAUUGACGCUCCAAGCAAAACUAUGUAACAGUCGGCCGUAUGCGAUAUUGAAGCACACACGCAGAUCCUCGUAUGGACUUCGCAUGAGCACGAAGGAUACAACAGCAUGGGAUCGACGGUCCACAACAUGCAGCUAUGGGGCCCUCUUCAACCUGUUAGGAUCCCUCCCCUUUGGGCCACGGCCGCCUCACUCCCCUUGGUGAGCAUGGAAAACUAGUUGCCCAAACGAGUUGCCGUGUAAGCACAUUUGCCCUGGCUGUGCCGCUCUCCGCAGACACGCGGAACGAGAGCUCGUGAAGCUCCAGCAAGGAGCCGCAUCACCAGGCACCGGCUUAUCUUG